AAAUUGAAGAGUUUGAUCAUGGCUCAGAUUGAACGCUGGCGGCAGGCCUAACACAUGCAAGUCGAACGGUAACAGGAAGCAGCUUGCUGCUUUGCUGACGAGUGGCGGACGGGUGAGUAAUGUCUGGGAAACUGCCUGAUGGAGGGGGAUAACUACUGGAAACGGUGGCUAAUACCGCAUAAUGUCGCAAGACA
rnacentral:rRNA from 1 species